CGCCCGGCCGGAUCCCGUGGGGGGAAUCCGUCCCGGGGCAAAGGGAAGCGCCCCGACCAUCGGC
rnacentral:ncRNA from 1 species